AAGGGUCACCAAUUGCCCCAAUUUGUCUGAGACUCUUCAAGUUUUAGAACUGAAAAUACUACAUUCCAGGAAGCCCCUCAGCCAGUCCCAGACAAACUGGGAAGGUUGGUCACUCUGUGCCCUU
rnacentral:miRNA from 1 species